GAACCUCUCUAUACGCAUGGGCGGAGAGAGUUCACUUUGUCUGCUACCAGUGACCAAGCGCCACUUCUGCAGCUGCGUGUGCUCAGUGGAUGUGUGACAUUGAGACAUCAAUUAGUACACAUAUUUGGGCAACAAGAAGACAAGUGAGACUUAGCUGUGUGUUAAAGUCUAUUUGUUUGAUCAGCUUCACCAAGCCUCUGCCUUGCUCUAACCUCCUAGUGCUGAGAAUGAAUGUGGAAAUGCAAAGAAUGCAGUUUUGAAGGAGCAUUAUCGUGCAUUUGAGCUGUCAGCUUCACCAACUAGAGAGGUUACCCUUAUUGAGCUUGCUGAGCUGAAGGACCCAUAUCCUCUUGUGGACUACUUGGUUGGUGGUGUGCGUAUGACAACACUGAAAAGAUUCAUCAUAGUGGAAGACUAAAGGUGACCAGUAAUGGCAAACCCCGUAGUUCUGCGGAUCCUCUUUGGUGGUGAAUAUGACUCAAGAAAACUUACCCUUGCUUCUGGAAUCCCUGGAACAGUGGAAGAGCUACAAACAAUAAUAAAGACUGUGUUUCAAGUGAAGGAUGACUUUCGGUUGCAAUACAUGGACAUUGACUUCAACCAGUUCAUGAACCUAACUUCAGUUUCUGAAAUUCAAAACAAAGGCACACUUAAAGUUAUAUACUGCUCAGUGUCUUCACCUGAGGAGCCUUACGUCACUUUGUAUCCAGUGAGCUCACCUGAAGGGGCCUCGUUUACCACUGCAGAUCCUCAAACACCAUCCUCUUCAGUUGCCUCUUCAUGCAGUGAUGAUACACUCUACACCUCAACUCCACAUUCCUCUCCAGAAACUCAGUCCUCAAAAGUGUCAUCGUGGCCCCA